rnacentral:rRNA from 1 species
UUGUUGGAGAGUUUGAUCCUGGCUCAGGACGAACGCUGGCGGCGUGCUUAACACAUGCAAGUCGAACGGGAUCCAAGAAGUGCUUGCACUUUUUGGUGAGAGUGGCGAACGGGUGAGUAACACGUGAGUAACCUGUCCUUUUCUUUGGGAUAAGCAUCCGAAAGGGUGUUUAAUACCUUAUGUUCUGUCUGCCUCGCAUGGGGU